GAAAACACAUAGUCAAAGGACGAUAUCUGGUGUAAAUACGUAAACACCACAAUUGAUGUGGUCACCUACCUACAUUAAAUAAUAUUAGGCAAGACACCAUGGGUAUAAACCUACAUAUUUCCUGGUUUAUGCAAGUAAAGUCCAAGAGUCAGUAAAUGUUGGAUCUGGACACACAAAAUUUUUAGGUUUCUCUGUGUAAUGCAAUAGUUCUUAGUAUUAGGGUCAGCGACCAGUUCUCCGAAUUCACUGUUUCCGCUUGGGAAGGAAAGGGUAACAACGUCCAUUCAUAUUAAUAUUAAUAAAUUAGUGGCUAUUUUUGCUCAGCAUUAAAAAUGCUGGAUAAAAUAUAAAUACCACUUUAAAUAUUAGCUAACCCAUACAAUUUUUACUUGGAUUAAUUACUUAAGUCCAAUAAGUAUUUUCUGCUGAUUGUUUUCUGCUGUUCUUCCUUCUGUUUUGUUGCCGUUUCCGCCGAUUUUGGUGUUUGGAGUAGCGUGGAUUUCUCAAAAAUUAUUGAAGCUUGGAACUGUGAUUGUUCAUGGUUAAUUUUUGCUGGUUCAUAGUUGCUGAGCUCCUACACAGUCGAGCUUGCUGUAUUUUCUUGUAAACCAGUUGGAGAUCUUUAUAUAUUGAAAAAUUAAGGAAGGAGUUUUCCUGAUGUCCGGAUGAAUCUUGAAGUUUUCUAGCAUUGUGGAACUAUUUUAUUCUUGGUAGUUUUCCCUUGUUUUCUGCCAUUUGGACUUUCAUUUUGUCUCAGAUUGCUGCUUAGUUUCCGCUGACGGGCUUUGGAAAUAGUGGAAUCGUUGGUGACAAAUAGUCAGGAAGGCUUUUACGGUCUGUGCAAUUGGGAGUGGAAUUGAUUUUCCACGCUUGCAACCCGUAUGGACAGUCAAGGGAUUUGUUUGACCAGGCAUACAGAAAGUUUGUGAGUGUUGUCAUCUCCCACUUGUUUCUUAAUACUCUAAGUUCCAAUUUAUGUAAAUCUAUUUCUUAUUUAGUCCGUACAAAAAAGAAUGAUCCCUUUUGCUAUUUGGAAACAAUUUACGUUUACACAAUAACUUAUAAUCACACAAAAUAAAGAUACUUCAUUUUACACUACAAAAUCAAAAAUCUUUUCUCUUUCCUAAAACUCUGUACCCAGUCAUAUGAAUUCACAUAAAUUGUAAGAGAGAGAGUAUGAUAUUAGUUGAAGCUAUUAAUUAUCUGUUGAAGAUUCUAGUGCCUUAAUAUGAAGUUGAUUGCUUUUGUUCACCAUUUUGAUAAUUUCAUUUUUUAUGUGCUAUAAUAGAACAUCAUAUAUUGCGAAUGUGGGAAUUAGGAAAAAAGACAAAAUGAAAAGAAAUUAGGAAAUACAUAUAAACUUUUGCAUUUUUUAUGUGUGACGAUUUUAAUGUUUACAGUUUGUCGUGGUCAGAUGAUAUAUUUUUCCUUAUGUAUAUAAUAUUGUGUUUGGUUAAAAUAUGGAUGGAUAUAUGGUGGUUUAUCUCUGAGAAAUAUUGUAACUUAUAAGGAGGGGUUUCGUUGUGCUAUGACUAAUUAUAUUAGAUUAGCAAGAGGAAGUGGGGAAUAGGGGUAAUUGGUAACUUAUGAAUUAUAAAUUCCCGGCAGCUUAGGAAUAGUGACCAAUUUAACAUGCUUUUAUUAGCUUGUAUAUUUCUUUAGAAAUCGAGGUGCUAUUUACUUGAAUUUUUCAUGGCCUUUGCAAAAUUGUAAGUGCAUGGUUGCUUUAUAAGCGCUAUUUAAAAAUUAUUUUCCUAAAUUCGGGUGUGCAUUUUAUGUGACCCGAAUCCAAAUCUUAAAACAUUGAAUAAGUUGUGUUUUAGAUUGGGGGUGCAUUUCAUAUAAAGUCAUCCGAAGACACGUUUGAAACGAUGUUUAAUCUUCCUUAAAAACUAAUUAAAAGCGGUGAAUAAUUUAAAAUUACACCAUAAAUUGAAACAUGUAGUGAAAUCAGGUAAUAGGCCAAUUAUAAUUAGUUUAAGCAACCGUGCUAGAAUUAUGGAAUCCGGGGUGCCUAACACCUUCCCCGAAUUAACAGAAUUCCUUAGUCAGAAUUUUUGGUCUUCACCUCAAAAGUCAAAAUUUUCAUCGAUUUGGGAUUUAAAAUAAACCUGUAACUUGGGACACCAAAAUCUAUCCCAAGUGGCGACUAUGAUCAAUAAAUAAUUUCAUUUUGAAUAGUGUCACUUAAAUUGAAAAAAUACUCUUGUAGGCUCGUACUAUCUUCGAGUGUGUAAAAACGAGGUGUGACAACAUAUAGAAGUUUUUAUUACAUUUUCCAUGUUAGGUGAAAUUAGGAAAAUGUUAUAUUCUUUGAUGAUUAUUUAUUUUCCUUUUUUCUUUUUCUUGUUCAAUUAGAAGUUGAUGUCCAUAUUUCUUUCAGCAUUUUGUUAUCCUUUUAUACUCGGCAUGGCACCCUGCCACGACCCAAGUUCACCAAUUGUGAACAUGGUAUGAUGGCACCUAGUUUUCAUGACUAGGUAAGCCUAACACAUCGCGAAAGUAACAACAUUUACGAAAAUUAUUUUCCAAAAGCGAAAUAACACGAAUAAUGUAUAGAGUUGCCGCUUGGCACAUACACUUUAACAAUUUACAUUCUGAAACUAUCCCAAAGACCCGAGAACCCACGGGCAAGUACAGGCUAGAGUAAUACAUAACACUACUCCAAUCAUCCAGAAAAGUCUAUAACAAGGAGAACAUAAUAGCAUCCAACUGACUAAACGGGUAGAAUGAGAGGGAGACUCUUCGGUCUACGGAUGCGGCAAAUAUACCUCAAGUCUCAGAAAUGCUCCCUGCAGCUACUGAUAAUGCGCCUGCGGAGAGGUAUCUGGAUCUGCACAUGAAAAGUAUGUGUAGAAGAGGCAUGAGUAUACAACAGCGGUACUCAGUAAGUGCCAAGCCUAACCUCGGUUAGGUAGUGAUGAGGAAAGGCUGAGGCCCUACUAAGAAAAAAAUAUAAUAAUCAAUAGAAUAAGGAAAGACCAUAUGGAUAUAAUCUACCAGGAGAAUCUAGCAAAGUAAUAAAUAAGAUAGUAACCGAGAACUAACAUAGUAACUAAGUAGAAGAGCAAAUCAACACCGGGAAUCUAUCAUCGGGAAUCUCCUGGUAUCCUCAUCCUAUACUCGAGGGAUCUCCUAGUAUCCCGAGAAUCUCCUAGUAUCCUCCAUUAUUACAUAAGGGGUCUCCUAGUAUCCCGAUGAUAACUUAGUAUCCUUAAUUUUACACAAUGGAUCUAUUAGUAUCCCGAGUAUCGCAUGGUAUCCUCCAUUUUAUAAUCAUAUUGUGCUAGGGAUCUCUUGGUAUCCCCCACUCUCAGUCAUAGAACAAAACACAUACAAAAGGAGAUAUCAAAAUGUCGUCUCAUAGUCCUAAUUCGUAAUACCACAUAAUUCAAAUAAGCUAAAGUGCUAAGUAAGAACAAUUUAUAGAAUUUCUAGUCUAGCAUGCUUCACGUAGAAUAGAUAAUACAGUUUAAGCAAUUAAGCAAGUAAGUUAGCUAAACAUGCUUAUCCUAAGCUAGCACAUGUUAAAUUGCAUUUAAAUAGGCAAUUUCGCAAGAAACUAUCGUUAAAUAUUCUAAGUAAAAACGGAUUUUUCAACAUCUAGCAAAAGUACACGCUCGUCACCUCGCAUACCAUGCAUUUAAAAUAGCAAGUAAUAGAUCCUAAGGGGAGAGGUCCCCCCACACAAAGUUAGAAAAGCCACUUACCUUGAACCGGUGCAAAAAUCACUAAGGAACGAUUCCCUUGCCAUGAGUAUCCGACUCCGCAUGGCCCAAAUAUAAACAAAUUACAUAAUAUAAAUAAUAUCACAAGUAACUAAUUUCUCUAUUAAAAUUAAAGAUAAGACGCAAAAAUGGGUAAAAUAACCAAAAUUCCCCUCUGACCAACGGCUCGGAAUUGAAUAAUAUUCAACUUUUCAUAAACCUCGUACUAUCACAAGUCUAACCAUAUCAAAUCUCUCAAAUCGAAGGUCAAUUGCCCCCUUAAAACUCAAUAAUUUAACCAAUGAACAUUCACCUAAAUUCUCCUAUUUUUGAUCCUUAAUUUGAAUUUAAAAGAUGGAUUUAACUACUAAAUGAUGGAAUAUAACUAGAAAAGAUCAUACAAACGUUACCCAUUAAUCUCCUCUUCGAAGUCCCCUCAAAAUCGCCCUUAACCGAGCUCAAAAUUGAAUUUUUCAACUUUUGAAAUAAGGCCUCGGAUAAACCAUUAUCAGAACAGUGGUUUCCGCCUUUUCAGCCCAGGGACCGCUUCUCGGUCCUGCUUUUGCAGAGAAACAACCGAUUUUUUGGUUUCACUUAAACGACCAGAGUCCGCUUUUGCGAACAUUUAACCUCUUUUGUGGUGCCGCUUAUGCUGAGAGGAGACCGCUUCUGUGGUUUCCUGAGGAAGGUCAAAAUCCAGUGCUGCGAUGAAAAAGUUGCUUAUACGGUUCCCAAGCCGCAAAAGCGGAAAUACCGGAAGAGAAAAGCUCAGUUGUUGCACACGUUAGGAAUUCUAGACGUCGACCAUCCGAAACCACCCCGAAGCCCUCGGGACCUCAACCAAAAACACCAAUACCAUAUAACUCGUUAUUCAAACUUUUACCAAUCCUCAAAACCUCCAGAACAACGCCGGAAGCUGAUUAAUUCAAUGAUUCAAGCCUAAGAACUCAUUUUUAAUCCAAAAUGCGCUUUCGAUCAAAACCUAACCAAACCUCGUCUGAUUGACCUAAAAUUUUGCAUGCACGUCCCAAAUGACAUGACGGUGCUACAGAAACUUCCGGAGUUCCAUUCGUCCCUCGGAUCACAAAAUUCACUAUCGGACCGGAAACCUCCAAUUUCUAAUUUUCAGUAUUUCUAGCCAAAAUGAGCUACGGGCAUCUAAACUACAUUCCGAACACGCUCCCAACCCCGAAAUUACCUAACAAAGCUAACGGAACCAUCAGAUUUCCAUUUUGAGGUCGUCUUCACACUGUUCCGAUUACAGACCACUUUCCAAAACUUAAGCUCUCAUUUAGGGACUAAGUGUACCAAAAUACUCCGUUUUCUAACACCGAAUGUCCCGACAAACCAAAAUAGCAGAAAUGAUCUUAGGGGAAGUAGUUGAUGGGGGAACGGGGCAUAAAUUCCAAAGACGACAGGCCGGGUCUUCACAUCCUCCUACACUUAAACAUUUGUUCGUCCUCAAACGAGCAUAGAGAACAUACCUGAAGUAGCAAAAAGAUGAGGGUAUUGACUGCGUAUAUCUUGCUCGGUCUCCCAAGUCACCUCCUUGGCUGGCUGACCCGCCACUCAACCUUUAAUGAAGCUGUAUCCCUUGACCUGAGCUUUCGGACCUACCUGUCUAAUAUUAUCACUGGCUCCUCAACAUAGCACAAGUUAUUGUCCAACUAGACUGAAGUGAACUCCAACACGUGAGACGGGUCACCGUGUAGAUGAGGGUAUUGGCUACACAUAUCCCGCUCGGUCUUCCAAGUCGCCUCCUUGGCCGGCUUACCUUUCCACUGAACCUUUAUUUAAGCUAUAUCCUUUGACAUGAGCUUUCAGACCUGCCUAUCCAAUAUCUCCACUGGCUCCUCAACAUAGGACAAGUCAUUAUCCAACUGGACUGAAGUGAACUCCAACACGUGAGACGGGUCACCGUGGUAUCUCUAAAGUAUCGAGACGUGAAAUACCAGAUGAACCCUGCCAAACUUGGAGGUAAGGCAAGCUCAUAGGUAACCUUCCCAACUCGCUUCAAAACCUCAAAAUGGCCAAUGAUCCUUGGGCUCAACUUCCCUUUAUUCCCAAACCUCAUGACGUCUUUCAUAGGCAAGACCCGAAGCAGAACUAGCUCACCAACCAUAAUGGAAACAUCACGAACCUUCUGGUCUACGUAAAUCUUCUGUCUGGACUAGGCCGUAGAGAGUCUGUCCCGAAUCACCUUAAACUUUUCUACCGCAUCCUAGACCAAAUUAGUGCCCAAUAGCCUUGCCUCACCCGGAUCGAACCAACCCAUCGAGGAUCUGCAUUUCCUACCAUAUAAGGCCUUAUGCGGUGCCAUCUGAAUGCUGGACUGAUAACUAUUGUUGUACGCAAACUCAGCCAAUGGAAAGAACCGAUCCCAAGACCCUCUAAACUCAAUCAUGAACGCAUGGAGUAUAUCCUCAAGAAUCUUAAUGGUCGCUCGGACUGUCCAUCCGUCUGAGGGUCAAAAGUUGUACUUAUAGUCACCUGGGUACCCAACUCCUGCUGGACGGCUCUCCAAAACCAUGAUGUAAACACUGAACCCCUGUCCGAGAUGAUAAAAACUGGAAUGUCGUGCAGACGGACAAUCUCCCUGAUAUAUGUUGACGCCCCCUUUUCUAAGGAGAAAUCGGGUUUACGACAUUAUGGGGGGAUGAAUAUUUUAUCCCUUUGGGCAUUUGGGUUAUGCAUUUGGAUAAUCUCCACCUAAUGAUUAUAGUGCAUUAGGACACUCUUUUAGAGAAAAGAAGAAAUAUUUGAAAGAAAACCAGAGUUUGGAUAAGGGCUUGAGAUUAUCUCGAGUGGAAGGUGUUAGGUACCAUUCAAGAUCCACUAGUGUGGUUCCCGGCAAUGCUUAGUUGUGACUUUUAAAAGAGAUGGAAACAAAUAAGUAAAAUUUGAACAUAUGAGACAUGAACAAGUUGAGAAUUUUACAAGAAAGACGACAUAAAUGAUUUUUUUUAUUAAAAAAGGCAAGAGACAAGCUUGAUGGAAGAAACGUUAAUUUAAGAAGAUAAAUAAAAGAGAGAAAGGGUCCUAGGGUAAAAUAUAAUAUGAAUCAAUUCGGUGCAAUACCCAGCAAUCAUUCUUACACGAGAUAUUAGCGCACCGGUCAUCAUAUUUAUAUUUUACCCUUCCCCACCCCAUAGAGGUUACUUUAGCGUGUGUAUUGAUCACGAAUGCUUAGCGUGUGCUAUUACCCGUCCCAUCCUACAGGUCCUAGAGGGUGUUUAGGACCACUAUUCCUACAAAAAGGGGGGUCUAGGCUGAACCCUUAAGUUUAAAGGCAAAAUACUAAGCGACGUAAAAAAUAAGUAGGACUUCAUAGAAGGGAUCACAUAAAGGCAUGUAAAUAGCUCACGUACCCCUCCACGAAUAUACAUACAAUUAGCACGCAUUUAAGGUCAAAAGAGAGUGAGAGUUUAAAAAACUUGAGUGUCAAAAAUAGGUUUAAAACAGAUGCUGAAAAGUUUUAAAUAAAUUUUCCAGGAAAGAGUUGGAUGAAGACUUUCAGAACUCGAGAAAAGGGCAAUAGAUACGUAACAGCUUAGGAAUCAGAAGAAAAAAAAUUUUACACACUUGAGAAUAUAUAGUAAAGAUACUAAAGAAACAACAUAGAACAAUUUCGGAUGGGAGGAGUAGAAAAAUGUCUAGUACAGAUGUACAAUUAUUCAAAAUUGCAAAAGUACAAAAGAAAGAGAGUGGUAAAUUUAUUAGCUUUUGAACUAUGGGUUUUACAAAAUCACAGAAGAUAUAGUAUUUAGAUAUAUUUUUAGAGAAUAGUUGUACAGUUCCGGAGUGGAAAGGUUAUUUAGCGGAAAACAUAUUUUUUGCACAGAUGUGAUAAAAAAACAGGACGGGAGUUUAGUAGGAAAAAUCUGACGGGCGCUAGAGAGGCAAUACAAAUUCGGACAGUUUAUAGAGGUGAAAUAACUCAAGCAUGAUUUAAGACGAUUAGUCUAUUUUAUCCGGCCUAAGGCUUGCCUAAACGUUGAAGGCAGUGGGCCGGAAUUUUUUUCCAAUUUUACAGUUAACUAGAUUGGUGUUAUUAGAUAUAAUACACUAACGAAGCGUUUCGACAAUUGAAAAUAAACCCUAAGUGCAUGGUAUCUAAUGCAUGUAAGAAUCCUAAAACAUGGUAUCUAAAUGUUGUAGCUUGUUAAUUAUUAACUGUUUGUGAUCAUAGGAUGAGUAAAAUAACAACCUAAAAGUAAAGAGACCUAAGAGAGGUAUUUCUAUUUGUGAGAUGCACGUCCUAAAUCAUGGUUUCUAUUGCACAAAUAGGAAAGUAAAAUCCUAUAGUCAUGUUUUCUACCCAUACCCUUAAUAAUCAUGCAUAACCCUCCCAAUUUCACAAUAAACCUCCAUAGUUCCUUACAAAUUAUAACAGGUUAGGUAAUUAAAUUAAGUAAUGAUGAAUAAAAUAAGAAGCUAUUCUAUAGGGAGCCUUCAGCCAGGCACAUACCUCCAACCUCACUUCUUUCGAGCUUCAAAGCCUUCACCUAUAUUUUGUGUGUGGAAAAUUUCCUUAGGGGUCUCUUGAGACCCCGGCCAAUACCAGGCCCCCAAAACAAAUCACCAUUGAUAAGUUCAAGCGUGGAAGUGCCAACCUUGUGCAUCAAAGUUCAGUGGCCACUCAAGGUACCCAAGGCAAUGCUUACACAAGGGGGCAUGACUUAAUUCUAAGAGUAGUGUGUGAUUGUGAUGGAGUUUGAAGGAGUUGAGUUAGAAACAGUUGAAAGGAAGUUUGAGAAAAACAGUGAUAGAAGAGUGAAAGAGACUUUUUGAAAUCAAUUUAGGCAGACCAGUUUUGAAAACAAAAGAGUCAUACAAACAAGGGCAAGGGAAAGGAGGACAAGUAGUUCACAAGCAAGGAAUGAGAAAAAAUAGUAAUAGGAGAGUGAUAGAGUCCUUUUGAAAUCAAUUUAGGAAGACCGGGUUUGAAAAACAAAAGAGUCAUACAAACAAGAGCAAGGGAAAGGGGGAAAAAUAGUUCACAAGCAAGGAAACUAUUCACACAUGUAUAAUACAUCAAAGAAAAGCAAUCAAGCAUACUUCAAAUAAGGAGUUUAAUUCUUACUGCACCAAACUCCAAAUAGGGUCAACCUCAGGAAGAGGUUUCAAGGCUAUUGAGUAGCCAGGCGGGACCUGAACACAUGCUAGUAGUGCACAGGAGUGAGCAAAAAACAUGUAAUAGGAGAGGGGACAGUGACAUGCCAAGUCAGGCUAGGCAUACUAAUUAUCAUAAGUAUAUGCUAGUGGCAAUAAGAACAAGAAGAGGUUGCAAGGCUAUUGAGUAGCCAGGCAGGACCUGAACAGAUGCUAUUACUGCACAGGAGUAAGGAAAAAAACAUAUAUUGGGAUAGAAGAGGGGGAAGUGACAUUCCAAGACAGGAUAGGCAUACUAAAUAUCAUAAGUAUAUGCUAGUGGAAAUAAGGACAACAGAACCAUAAGUAAAAACACACAAGAAACAAGAGGAAGUGCAGCAAUAUACAUGAAGUGUGCAGAGCAGCAGUAUGCAGGAAGUGAGAAGCAGUAUGCGUGGCCAAAAAAGUUCCGUUUCUUUAUUCAAUAUUAAGCACUGGCUCCAUAGCCAUGGAGGCAGAGUACUCGAGGGUUCUUUUCUAGUUUGUUUUCCAUAUGGCUUUGGCUAUUCUUUUUUUCUUAAGAAAGUUUGUCUCUGGAACUUUGUGUACUUAGUGUCAUGACCCUCCUCAUCAUUAUACCACGUAGGUGCCAUUUGAAUUAUAUUUUUUCCAUAUGGAAGGGUUAUAUAAUUUUGAGACUAAAUCUUGGUGGAAUAUUCUAGAAACUAUGGAGAAUUUCCUUGCAAAGCACUAGAUAUUUUUGCACUUGUAGUUUUAGAGAAAUAUGGAGAUUUCUCAUGGAAGACCUUAGAAUCCUGUGGAUUUUCUAGGAAAGUACUUGGAAUCUUCUAAACUUGUAGAAUAUUCUAGAGAAUGAACUUAUUUAUAAAUAUGGAAGGACUUGUAGAAUAAUUAUUAUUUGCAUACUAGACCCUAGGUGAUUAGUAUAAAUAUGAAGCAUCAUUUUUAAUUCACCAACUAAUCAAAUAAUUCAAGUUUUCUCUAAUGCGAUGUGAUGAUUCGACCCUUCGUCUCAUGUGUCACCGCCUCGUUUUCCCCAUAUUAUGCUUCUUCAGUUUUUAUUAUCGGCAUUCGGUGGGUUAGAGUUGAUUUGGAUUGGUUUUGGUAGGAAAUGAGACACUUAGUCUCUUCAAGAAAGGUUUGUUUCGGAAAAGUCAACCGGAUGUUGACUUAUGAGUUAGAGGGAUCAUAUUUGAUUUUUGUUGAUUCAGUUAGCUUCGGGUGUGAUUUGUGACUUAUGAGUGUGAUCGGAAGUGGAUUUGGAGGUCGGGUGUAGAAUUAAGCUUGUAUUGGCGAAGUUAGUAUUUUGGCGAUAUCCGGUUGAUAGAUGAGAUUUUGAUCCGAGAGUCGGAAUGGAUUUCCAAGAGUUGAGGUAGCUCCAUUAUAUGAUUUGGGAUGUGUGUGUCAGUUGAUUCGGAAGUGUUUUGAUUGGGUUUUUGAUCAAAUGCAUGUUUCGUAAAGUUUUUGAAAGCUUAGGCUCAAACUGGAUGUGAAUUGAUGGUUUUAAUGUUUUUUGAGGUAUUUCCUAGAUUGGAACAAAUUUGAAUAAUGUUUUAAGAUGUGUUGGUACCUUUGGUUGAGGUCCCGGGGGCCUCUGGAUAAUUUCGGGUGGUCAACCGGACCGUUUUUGGACUUAUAGAUUGCAGGUUCGGCUGUUUGUGUUGCAGAAGAAAAUUUCUCUUCAUGUUUGCAAGGGUGAGUUGCGAAUGCGUAGAGGUGAUUUGGGUUGCCUGGAAUUUAGUCUUCGCGAUCGCGUGGCAUAGGGUCGCAUUCGCAUAGUUCUGAAAGGUGAAGCUUCGCAUUCGCCAGGAUCACGCAUUCGCAUAGAAGGAAGUCAAGGCCCUGAGUAUUUGUUCAUCGGGAUAGCACCAUAGGGACGCGUUCGCAUAGUUGGAGGUCCUGAUGGUUCACGUUCGUGGGGUGGGAGCCACGUUCGUUCAGGGAUAAAUUUUGGCCAGCAUUUUUGUUCAUCGCGAACGCAGAGGUAUUGACCACAUUCGCAUAGGGUAAAAAUGCACCUGGGCAGAAUGGUUUUUAUAAUAUUUCAUCCGCAAGUCUAAGUUAUUUUCCUCCAUUUUUGAGCACCUUGAAGAUUUUUGGGAGCAAUUGAAGAUGGUUUCGAAGAGGAUUGAUUGGAGGUAAGUACUAUGAACUAAAAAUAUGAUUUAGUAGAGAAAUUUACCUUGAAAUUCUUGGAAACUUAGCAAAAAGGGGAAGAACUAGGGCUUGAGUUUGAGAUUUUUAAAUGGGGGAUUUGAGGGGUGAUUUGAACUCCAAUUUUGGUAUUCUUGAUAUGUAUAAACUCGUGGAAAGACGGGGAAUCCGGUGAUUUGAAUAUCAUAAUUUUUCAAGAAGUAGGCCUGGGGUUGGGUUUUGCUAGUUUCAAGAUUUCUGCUGCUUUUCAAUUUUUUCUGAUCAGGUAUUGUUCCCUUAGCAUAUUAUGAUGUAUUUUCUCUGAUUUUGGUUAGAUUCGACGCACGUGGAAGCUGAUUUGAGGGGCUAAGGCGUCGGAAGCUAUAGAUUUCUCCGGUUCGAGGUGAGUAAUAUUUGUAAAUGAUAUCCUGAGGGUUUAAAACCCCGGAUUUGCACACCAUAGUGUUGUAUUAAGGUGAAUUGCACGCCGGAUAACGGGCAUGGGGUAGAACACCAUUGGGGAUUGUGACUUGGUCCAUCCCGAGAGAGGUUUUUAUUGUGUUUUCUACUUGAACUAAGUUGAAAAUUAUCCUUAUUUUUAUUUGAUUGCUACAUUUGGGGCUUCUUGCCAAUU
rnacentral:lncRNA from 1 species